AGUCGAACGGCAGCGCGGGGCAACCUGGYGGCGAGUGGCGAACGGGUGAGUAAUAUAUCGGAACGUACCCUNGAGUGGGGGAUAACGUAGCGAAAGUUACGCUAAUACCGCAUACGAUCUANGGAUGAAAGUGGGGGAUUCGCAAGAACCUCAUGCUCGUGGAGCGGCCGAUAUCUGAUUAGCUAGUUGGUAGGGUAAAAGCCUACCAAGGCAUCGAUCAGUAGCUGGUCUGAGAGGACGACCAGCCACACUGGAACUGAGACACGGUCCAGACUCCUACGGGAGGCAGCAGUGGGGAAUUUUGGACAAUGGGCGAAAGCCUGAUCCAGCAAUGCCGCGUGAGUGAAGAAGGCCUUCGGGUUGUAAAGCUCUUUUGUCAGGGAAGAAACGGUGGACUCUAAUACAGGCCACUAAUGACGGUACCUGAAGAAUAAGCACCGGCUAACUACGUGCCAGCAGCCGCGGUAAUACGUAGGGUGCAAGCGUUAAUCGGAAUUACUGGGCGUAAAGCGUGCGCAGGCGGUUUUGUAAGUCUGACGUGAAAUCCCCGGGCUCAACCUGGGAAUUGCGUUGGAGACUGCAAGGCUAGAGUUUGGCAGAGGGGGGUAGAAUUCCACGUGUAGCAGUGAAAUGCGUAGAUAUGUGGAGGAACACCGAUGGCGAAGGCAGCCCCCUGGGUCAAGACUGACGCUCAUGCACGAAAGCGUGGGGAGCAAACAGGAUUAGAUACCCUGGUAGUCCACGCCCUAAACGAUGUCUACUAGUUGUCGGGUCUUAAUUGACUUGGUAACGCAGCUAACGCGUGAAGUAGACCGCCUGGGGAGUACGGUCGCAAGAUUAAAACUCAAAGGAAUUGACGGGGACC
rnacentral:rRNA from 1 species